AAAAAGUACAGGCAUAUUGUUGAAAGUAUUGGCCUCUUGCAGCAAUGCAAGCAUUGCAUUUAGUACGGACAGCUCGUGUUGCAGCUAAACACUGAUCUGGUGAUAUUUC